GAUGGCGUUAACGAGGGGAGGGAUCCGCCAGGGAGUUGACAAAUUCAUCUGAAUAAUAAAACGCAGCCUGCUUCAUAAACAACCCUUCACUGCCCCCGGAGGUCUGGGGAGCUGGAGCUGUGCUCACAACUAGGGCCUGGGCUCAUACACUGAACUGACCUGGCUGAGGCAUCAGACACGGUGCCAGUCCUGCCCUGCGGGGAAGACAAGAGCACAAAGUGACAAGCCAGUGUGGACUCACUCUGUCCUGGACCUGACCAGAGAGGGUGGCUGACAAGGCUCGGAAUCGUGGCCUCCAGAGGUUUGUCUGGCAGCAGAAGAUGGAGAUAUGACUUUAAGAGCUCUGAAACUCCACUGUAAUAACAGCAACCAACAGGGCUUACAAAGACCAGGCACUUGAAGUGGAUUUGCUCAUCAUUUGACAAGACACCUCUUGACAAGACACCUCCAGAAGGAUUUUGUUUAUUGUAAAGGAUGGAGGAACUAGGGUGAAAAAGAGCCAACAGCUUGCCCAAGAUCAUAUUUGAAGUCCAUGCUUUUGGCCACGUGGCUGUCCUGGGCUUCGGAAGGCUCUGGUGCAGCCUGUGUUAGAGUUUUGUAAUAUAUUGUUUUAUAAUUAUUCACUAUAGACAUUCACUGGUGGGUUGAAGUGUGAGGCAGUGAGCUGUGGGUAUUAAUAACUGACUCGUGUCAGAAGCUUAGCAGUGAACAAAGCACUUUCUCGGAUACAGUUCUUAGAGCUUCUCCUGCUUCUUUUCCCCGGGAAGAAACUUGAGCUGCUAACAUUUUGUAAACCUCCUAAUUUCCUGUAAAUCACAUGUCCCUGCUGAGUGGGGCUGAAAAUGUUUCGGGCAAUGGUUUUCACCCUUAGGUCUGUUCACACUGCCCAGCAGCCAGUUAGCUUCUCUCUGUAGUUUAUGGUGUAGUUUGUCCUUUUUCUGCCGGGGUGGGAGGCAUGGGGCUUUCAUG
rnacentral:sRNA from 1 species